UACGUAGGGGGCAAGCGUUGUCCGGAAUCAUUGGGCGUAAAGAGCGUGUAGGCGGCCAGAUAAGUCCGCUGUGAAAUCUCGAGGCUCAACUUCGAGCUGUCGGUGGAAACUGUCUGGCUAGAGUCCGGUAGGGGACCACGGAAUUCCUGGUGUAGCGGUGAAAUGCGCAGAUAUCAGGAGGAACACCGGUGGCGAAGGCGGUGGUCUGGGCCGGAACUGACGCUGAGGAGCGAAAGCGUGGGGAGCGAACAGG
rnacentral:rRNA from 1 species